AUGGAGUUCCACUUCCGUGCCGACGACAAGCGUUGUCCGUCGACGGGGACCACGGCUAUGUCGGCCAACUCCGAGAGUGCAGCCACGCGCGUGCAUGUCGGACUCGUCGGCGGCGACGGCGUGGGGUACCACGGGGAGAGCUCACCACCACUACUGUCAGAUCUGGACGAGCUGCGGCGCCGAGCGGGGAAGGAGAGGAUAAGGGAACGGAUCCUGCGGGAGGAGGCGGAGGCCAUGGCGCUCGAGGCCGAGGUCCGUCGUGAGCUCAUGGAGGAGCGUGCCAGUUUGCUCGUGCGGCUGGCCGGCGGGUCGGAACAUAGGGCGGCGCCCGCGGUGGCAUCGCAAAAGACGGUGGCGCCGUACUUUCAUGAGUCUGUGCAGGCCGGGUCAAAAGUAGAAGUGUCUGCUGCUGCGCCAGGCAAGCGGAAAAACCCUGAUGUACAUGAUACAUCUGUUGUUUUGGCAGCCAUGGGAAGCAAGAAGCCGAAAACAGAUCUAACUUGCACGGUGUGCGACAUCACGGCAACCAGUGAGGUUGCCCUACAAGAGCACCUCAGAGGGAAGAGCCACGGGAGGAAGGCCACUAAACUUGCGCAACCAGUGCGUGGAACAGGUCAACCGGUGGAGGAUGCGUUCAUCUUGAAGGUAAAUGGGUCGGCAGCCUUACCGGCCAAGGGGACAAACCCUGGUGUUGUUACCGCUUCGAUGGAUCUCGCUGAAAAAAGUUGUGACAACUUGGGCUUGAACUGCACAGUUUGCAGCAUCACAGCAAGCAGUCAGAAGAACAUGCGAGAUCACCUCAAAGGAAAAAUUCAUAUGAGGAAGACUGCCAUGCUCGCGCAACCAUAUCCUAAGGAGGAUGGGGUCUGCUCAAAACCAUAUGCAUCAGCAGCCGUGCUACCGGCCAAGCGGAAGAACUCCGUCGUUGUCCCUGCCGCAUCCACCCUUUCAGCCGGGCCAAGCAGCAAGAAUCAGAAGCAGGAUCACCUCAAAGGGAAGGCUCACAUGAAGAUGGCGGCCUCGCUUGCGCCUGGGGAAGCGGAGGAAGAGGCAGAGGUGGAAGGCGGCUACACGCCGUGGAAGUUCAACAUGGUGACCGAGUCCGGGACAUUGUGCGAGGUGGUGCAGCUGAACGGCUCCAUCCUCUGCGAGGUGUGUGACAAGCAGGCCCCCGACCGCGUCACCAUGAUGUGCCACCUCCAGGGGACCAAGCACAUCUCCAAGCAGGCCAAGCAGAAGCAAUGCGAAGCCGUGGCUGCUGAUGGCGAUGGGCCAGGAUCAGAAAUGGUGCCCAUGGAGGCCAAUGGCGUGGGCCGGGUGGACGGUGGCUCCCUGCUGUGCGAGCUCUGCAACGUGAAGGUGGCGUCGGAGUGCGACAUGGAGUCUCACCUGUCCGGCAGGAAGCACACCAACAAGGCGAAGGUGGCCGCAGUUGGUGUCGGUGCAUGUGGCAACGGGUCAGGAUCAGAAACUGUGCCCAUGGAGGCCAAUGGCGGCGGCAUCCUGCUGUGCGAGCUCUGUGACGUGAAGGCCCCGUCGGAGUGCGUCAUGCGGACUCACCUGUCCGGCCGGAAGCACACCAACAAACUGAAGGCCGCCGCUGACGCCGGUGCAGGACAGGAGGUGAAGAAGGCUGCCGCCGUCGCCACGGUCGGCAGCUCAUCCAAGGAAGCCACCUCCAUCGUUGUCAACAGCAGCGAUGACUCCGUGAAGAAACCAGCAGCGGGGGAGAUGGAGGUGGUAGUGUCAUCGGCAACGCCUCAAGUGGACGUCGCCGCCCCGGUCUGCGCCCGUGUCUCCUCCGUGGCGCCCAUGGCCAUGGAAGUAGACGAAGGUGCAGAGGCCGGAGAUGGUGCUGCCAAAGCUGAAGAACAAGAGAAAGCUGAUGCCGAGGAAGAGGGAGCCGUGGAGAUCGAUGGAGGCCCCGCCGUGACCGGCGAGAAGUAUUACAUCAAGGCGGAGGCCAAGCUGUUCGUCACGCUGCGCCAGGCGGACGACAGCCUCUCGUGCGGCCUGUGUGGCGUGCACGGCUGUGACAAGCGCGGCAUGAUCAAUCACAUCUACACCAGGGAUCACUGGCGCAGAGCCCGUAUCGCCGAGGAGAAGGGGCGGGCAGUGAACAACGCCGGCACCGGCAUCCCGGUCACCGACGGAGCGGCUCAGGUCGAUAACUGA
rnacentral:rRNA from 1 species